GGGCGCAUGGCCUAAUGGUAAGGCGUUAGAUUUCGGUUCUUAAGAUGAUCUCUAAAGAUUGCAGGUUCGAUCCCUGCUGUGCUCG